UUGGUUGCGAUGAUUAUAAGAAAUUCCUCGUACUGAAUGCUAUAGCCAUGGCAUGACAGACGCCUUAACACCCAUAGAAUAUGAGCACC
rnacentral:snoRNA from 11 species